GACGAACGCUGGCGGCGUGCUUAACACAUGCAAGUCGAACGGAGAGGCCCCUUUGGGGGUCCUCGAGUGGCGAACGGGUGAGUAACACGUGAGUAACCUGCCCUUGACUUCGGGAUAACUUCAGGAAACUGGGGCUAAUACCGGAUAGGAAUCCUUGCUGCAUGGUGGGGGUUGGAAAGCUUCGGCGGUUUUGGAUGGACUCGCGGCUUAUCAGCUUGUUGGUGGGGUAGUGGCUUACCAAGGCUUUGACGGGUAGCCGGCCUGAGAGGGCGACCGGCCACAUUGGGACUGAGAUACGGCACAGACUCCUACGGGAGGGAGCAGUGGGGAAUAUUGCACAAUGGGCGGCAGCCUGAUGCAGCAACGCCGCGGGCGGGAUGACGGCCUUCGGGUUGUAAACCGAUUUCAGCAGGGGCGAAGCUUGUGGUGACGGUACCUGCAGAAGAAGCAACGGCUAACUACGUG
rnacentral:rRNA from 1 species